AGAGAAAAAGCAUUUGAAGAUGAAAACGGAUACUAGUUUCUAUUUCAUCAGUCUAAUAAUCACUGGCACAUGUGAAAAUCCUUAUGAACAUUGGUUCAGACUGUAGGGGCCUCACAGAGUAAGCAUCCCUACCAUUUAAGUCCAAGCCAGAGCCGGAUAUAGACUCUGAGAGAACCCUGAACCACUGUGUAAGACAUCUUAUUACUCUUCUGGAGAGGUGAGCUCAGCACUCCUAAACUAUUCCAAUCAUCUCAGUAAAUAUGAGAAUGAGGUCAUCCGGGAGAUUCCAAUUCCAGCAAAGUCCCUGGCAGAAUGAAGCUUCAUGAGUGACCCAAACCAGAUGGAGCAGAAAAAACAGCCUAGAUGAUUCCAGUCAAUCCACAGAAUUGUGAGAAAUAAUAAAUUGUUACUGUUUUGAGCCAUCAACU